rnacentral:rRNA from 1 species
UUUAAAACUUUUGUUUUUAUACUUCUUAUCUUUAAUAGUUUAAUUUUUUUUCUUUCUGUUAAGGAUUGUUUUUAUUAUUAGUUUACCUUUUGUAUAAGUUCUUGUAGAAUGGCUUUUAUUUACUCUUGUUAGAAUGAGGGAGAUCUUUAAAUUUGUUUUAAUUUAAGUAUUAAGUAAAAGUUUUUCUAUGGAGUGAUACGUGUACGUUCCUUACGUUAUCUAGUUUUGAUAUUUCCUUUGGGGGUAACCCCGUCCUCUUUGGGAUUUGUUGUUUAGUUAUGUUUGUUUUAAUGGUAAAUUUUUGUGUAAUAACGUUUUUUUUGUUUUUAGUUUACUUUUAUAAUUUUUUGAUAAAUUUUACUUUAAUUACUAUAUGUAGUAUGUUUUCUUUAUUUUUAUUAUUAGUUUUUAUUAGUUUUUUAACAUUUAAGUGUUUUACUUUUCACUUUUCGACUUGUUUAAUAAAAUCUUAGCCAAGAUUUUCUUAGUAUUCUGCCCUAUGCUUUUUGUUAUGCUGUGAUCCACACUAGUAGCGAGAUCAUAAGUAUUAAUUGGUUACUUGGAUGGAACGAGCUUUUAAAGGUAUUAUUAUUUUUCUGGACUUAUAAUUUUGUUGAAAUUACCAUCUCACUAGACUAUGACAUGACUUUAAGUCAGUAUUUGGUGGGAAACAUUAUUUGGUUGGGGCAAUAUUUAAAUUUUUAAAUAUUAAAAACUUUAUUUAUUUAUGAACCUUUUUUAAAGAAAGAUAGGAAAAUACUCUAGGGAUAACAGCUUUAUGACCUUUUAUAGUUCUUAUUACUAAGGCUGCUUGGGACCUCGUUGUUGGAUUAGGUUUGCUUUAGGGUGUAGAAGCUUUUGAAAGCUAGACUGUUGGUCUAUUAAAUACUGACAUGAUCUGAGUUAAAGUCGGUGUAAGCCAGACUGGAUUUUAUCUAGAGUUAUAAUUAUUUGCUUUUCAGUACGAAAGGACCUUUUACUGGUCAUUUUUACUCUGUUUCUUUUCUUUCUAAAUCGUUA